UGGGGAAUAUUGGACAAUGGGCGAAAGCCUGAUCCAGCCAUGCCGCGUGUGUGAAGAAGGUCUUCGGAUUGUAAAGCACUUUAAGUUGGGAGGAAGGGCAGUAAGCGAAUACCUUGCUGUUUUGACGUUACCGACAGAAUAAGCACCGGCUAACUCUGUGCCAGCAGCCGCGGUAAUACAGAGGGUGCAAGCGUUAAUCGGAAUUACUGGGCGUAAAGCGCGCGUAGGUUGUUCGGUAAGUUGAAUGUGAAAGCCCCGGGCUCAACCUGGGAACUGCAUCCAAAACUGGCGAGCUAGAGGAGGGCAGAGGGUGGUGGAAUUUCCUGUGUAGCGGUGAAAUGCGUAGAUAUAGGAAGGAACACCAGUGGCGAAGGCGACCACCUGGGCUCAUACUGACACUGAGGUGCGAAAGCGUGGGGAGCAAACAGG
rnacentral:rRNA from 1 species